UACAGAGGUCUCAAGCGUUGUUCGGAUUCAUUGGGCGUAAAGGGCGCGUAGGCGGUCGUGACAAGUCACUUGUGAAAUCUCCGGGCUUAACUCGGAACGGUCAAGUGAUACUGUCGGACUAGAGUACAGAAGGGGCAACUGGAAUUCUCGGUGUAGCGGUGAAAUGCGUAGAGAUCCCCAAGAACACCAGUUGCGAAGGCGGCCGACUGGACACAUAUUGACGCUGAGGCUCGAAAGCAUGGGGAGCAAACAGG
rnacentral:rRNA from 1 species